rnacentral:rRNA from 1 species
AAGACCUUGCGCUUUUGGAGCGGCCGAUGUCUGAUUAGCUUGUUGGUGAGGUAAAAGCUUACUAAGGCUUCGAUCAGUAGCUGGUCUGAGAGGACGGCCAGCCACACUGGGACUGAGACACGGCCCAGACUCCUACGGGAGGCAGCAGUGGGGAAUUUUGGACAAUGGGGGCAACCCUGAUCCAGCCAUGCCGCGUGAGUGAAGAAGGCCUUCGGGUUGUAAAGCUCUUUCAGCCGGAACGAAACGGUUACGGUUAAUACCCGUGACUACUGACGGUACCGGAAGAAGAAGCACCGGCUAACUACGUGCCAGCAGCCGCGGUAAUACGUAGGGUGCAAGCGUUAAUCGGAAUUACUGGGCGUAAAGCGUGCGCAGGUGGUUUUGUAAGUCAGAUGUGAAAUCCCCGGGCUUAACCUGGGAACU